rnacentral:rRNA from 1 species
UACGUAGGUGACCAGCGUUGUCCGGAUUUACUGGGCGUAAAGAGCGCGCAGGCGGUCGUUCAAGUCGAGUGUGAAAGCCCCCGGCUCAACUGGGGAGGGUCACUUGAUACUGAUCGACUCGAAGGCAGGAGAGGGAAGCGGAAUUCCCGGUGUAGUGGUGAAAUGCGUAGAGAUCGGCAGGAACACCCAGGGGGAAACCAGUCGACUGGGCAUCUACUGACGCUGAGGUGCGAGAGCGUGGGGAGCGAACCGG